rnacentral:rRNA from 1 species
AUUGAACGCUGGCGGCAGGCCUAACACAUGCAAGUCGAACGAGUGGCGGACGGGUGAGUAAUGUCUGGGAAACUGCCUGAUGGAGGGGGAUAACUACUGGAAACGGUAGCUAAUACCGCAUACCAUCAGAUGUGCCCAGAUGGGAUUGGCUAGUUGGUGGGGUAACGGCGCACAAAGGCGACGAUCCCUAGCUGGUCUGAGAGGAGGACCUCCCACACUGGACCUGAGACACGGUCCAGACUCCUACGAGUGGCAGCAGUGGGAAAUAUUGCCCAAUGGGCGCAAGCCUGAUGCAGCCAUGCCGCGUGUAUGAAGAAGGCCUUCGGGUUGUAAAGUACUUUCAGCGGGGAGGCGUUACCCGCAGAAGAAGCACCGGCUAACUCCGUGCCAGCCGCCGCGGUAAUAC